UCCUCAUUAGUGUUAAUGUGCAGCACGUAUGACUGUUAAUCAUAAAGUUUUGGUUCGAAUCCAAAAUGGGGAGCCA
rnacentral:tRNA from 1 species